UGCUCGACUGACAUAUAGAUCAUAAAAUAUUUAGAUACAUCAAAUAUAGUUGGCCUAUUGCUUAUUGUAUUAGAAAAAUAGACCAAAACUCAAAAACUUAACUUUGACCACUGAACCAUGAAAAUGAGGUCAAGGUCAGAUGACACCUACCAGCUAGACAUGUACACCUUACAAUCAUUCCAUACACCAAAUAUAGUAGACCAUUUGCAUACUGUAUAAGCAACAC
rnacentral:lncRNA from 1 species